UUAUCCUCAUUAAUCUGCUGGUAUUAGCUCCCGUUUGUGCUUUAUUAUGGAUGUGUAACUUUCAGUUACACAAGCUAAGUGGAUGUGUAACUUCUAGUUACACAAGCUAAAUAGAUGUGUAACUUCUAGUUACACAUGCUAAUUAGAUGUGUAACUUUUACUUACACAUACUGAUUGAAUACAACAGCUGAAGGUUUUUAAUGCUUGGAAACAACUUAUUCAUGAUUAAACCUAGGUAGUACUUGUCAUCUUGUAUAAGAACUCCAAUUUGAAUGAUUCAGGUUUCAGUUGGUGAUAUUGUGGUGACUCCAAUUUGAAUCAAUCAAUUUAUUCCAAUUUGUUCUUUUGAAGCUACUUCAGGUCAGAGUAGAAAAAUAUAAUUUUUAUGGAAUCAAUGAAUUUUGAAUCUAGGAAAAUCAACACUUGUGGUGGUGUUGAUGGUGGAGGUGCAGGUUUUGGAGGAGGAUGAGGAGGCAGUGGUGGUACUGGAUCAGAUUUGGAAGAUAAUUUGUAUUUGGAGUUAGUGGUGGUGUUUUGGUAUGAAGCUGAGAGGUUUGGUAUGGAUGUUAGAGCUGUGUUAGACAUUGUUUCAGAUAACUUCAUAAAAGCUAAUUGCUUAAACGUGGUAAUGAUCUCGCUGGAACUGGA